AUGGGAAUGGGAAAUGGGAAAGGGGAAAUGGGAAUGGAAUUGGGGAAAAGGGAAAUGGGAAUGGGAAAGGGGAAAUGGGAAUGGGAAAGGGAAAUGGAAUUGGGGAAAAGGGAAAUGGGAAUGGGGAAAUGGGAAUGGGGAAAAGGGAAAUGGGAAAUGGGAAAGGGGAAAAGGGAAAUGGAAUUGGGGAAAAGGGAAAUGGGGUGGGGAAAGGGGAAACAGGGAAAAUGGGAUUGGGAAAAGGGAAAUGGGAUUGGGAAAAUGGGAAUGGGCAAAUGGGAAUGGAAUUGGGGAAAAGGGAAAUGGGAAAUGGGAAUGGGGAAAUGGGAUUGGGAAAAGGGAAAUGGGAUUGGGAAAAAGGGAAUGGAGUGGGAAAAGGUAAAAUGGGGUGGAAAAGUGGAAAUGGGAAACGGAAAAUGGGGUGGGAAAGGGGAAAUGGAAUUGGGGAAAAGGGAAUGGGGCAGGGAAAGGGAAAAGGGGACAGGAAAAGGGGAAAGGGGACACGGGAACAAGCCGGGGUGGGGGGUCUCAAGCUCCAGGAAUUUAGGAUUGCUGCUUCCCGACCCGGUUUGGGCUUGGAACCUCACCCGGCACCGAGGGGCACGGCAGGGACAGGGCGGGGUGAGGGGGACAGGUGACAGCCACGGUGACAUUUCCCGGGACAGCCGGGAUUGCCCCCCCAGGAACCCGAAACGUGCGGGGGGGAAACGCCAAGGGACAAAAAAUCGGAAUCCAGGGGGGAAGAAAAACCCCAAAACCCCUUUGGAGACUCCUUGUGGGGUCUCUAAAUGUCCCCCCAGAGCCACCAGGCUGGGGGACACAGGGGAGGGGACAGGGAGCGGCUGCUGAGGUUCCAAGAGGAAAAAGGGCCCCCAGCCCCUUUCCGUGUCCCAGCCCCGGCUGCAGCUAAUCCUAAAUUCUGGGAAUUUCGGGGAGCGGAAGCCUGGGGCAAGGGACGGUCCCUGCGGUCACUCGGGACGGUCCCUGCGGUCACUCACAGUUUGUCCCUGCAAGCAGCAGAGCGGGCAGGGAGGGAAAACAACAGCGGUUAAUGCGCGA
rnacentral:lncRNA from 1 species